rnacentral:rRNA from 1 species
CACGACUACAUUAGAUACCCGCGUAGUCCCAGCCCUAAACGAUGCGCGUUAGGUGUAUCGGUGACCACGAGUCACCGAGGUGCCGAAGGGAAACCGUGAAACGUGCCGCCUGGGAAGUACGGUCGCAAAGGCUGAAACCUAAAGGAAUUGGCGGGGGAGCACCACAACGGGUGGAGCCUGCGGUUUAAUUGGACUCAACGCCGGGAAGCUCACCGGAUAAGACAGCGGAAUGAUUGCCGGGCUGAAGACCCUGCAUGACCAGCUG